rnacentral:rRNA from 1 species
GGGUUGUGAGGUUAAGCGACUAAGCGUACACGGUGGAUGCCCUGGCAGUCAGAGGCGAUGAAGGACGUGCUAAUCUGCGAUAAGCGUCGGUAAGGUGAUAUGAACCGUUAUAACCGGCGAUUUCCGAAUGGGGAAACCCAGUGUGAUUCGUCACACUAUCAUUAACUGAAUCCAUAGGUUAAUGAGGCGAACCGGGGGAACUGAAACAUCUAAGUACCCCGAGGAAAAGAAAUCAACCGAGAUUCCCCCAGUAGCGGCGAGCGAACGGGGAGCAGCCCAGAGCCUGAAUCAGUGUGUGUGUUAGUGGAAGCGUCUGGAAAGGCGUGCGAUACAGGGUGACAGCCCCGUACACAAAAAUGCACAUACUGUGAGCUCGAUGAGUAGGGCGGGACACGUGGUAUCCUGUCUGAAUAUGGGGGGACCAUCCUCCAAGGCUAAAUACUCCUGACUGACCGAUAGUGAACCAGUACCGUGAGGGAAAGGCGAAAAGAACCCCGGCGAGGGGAGUGAAAAAGAACCUGAAACCGUGUACGUACAAGCAGUGGGAGCACAGAGCAAUCUGUGUGACUGCGUACCUUUUGUAUAAUGGGUCAGCGACUUAUAUUCUGUAGCAAGGUUAACCGAAUAGGGGAGCCGAAGGGAAACCGAGUCUUAACUGGGCGUUAAGUUGCAGGGUAUAGACCCGAAACCCGGUGAUCUAGCCAUGGGCAGGUUGAAGGUUGGGUAACACUAACUGGAGGACCGAACCGACUAAUGUUGAAAAAUUAGCGGAUGACUUGUGGCUGGGGGUGAAAGGCCAAUCAAACCGGGAGAUAGCUGGUUCUCCCCGAAAGCUAUUUAGGUAGCGCCUCGUGAAUUCAUCUCCGGGGGUAGAGCACUGUUUCGGCAAGGGGGUCAUCCCGACUUACCAACCCGAUGCAAACUGCGAAUACCGGAGAAUGUUAUCACGGGAGACACACGGCGGGUGCUAACGUCCGUCGUGAAGAGGGAAACAACCCAGACCGCCAGCUAAGGUCCCAAAGUCAUGGUUAAGUGGGAAACGAUGUGGGAAGGCCCAGACAGCCAGGAUGUUGGCUUAGAAGCAGCCAUCAUUUAAAGAAAGCGUAAUAGCUCACUGGUCGAGUCGGCCUGCGCGGAAGAUGUAACGGGGCUAAACCAUGCACCGAAGCUGCGGCAGCGACACUAUGUGUUGUUGGGUAGGGGAGCGUUCUGUAAGCCUGUGAAGGUGUACUGUGAGGUAUGCUGGAGGUAUCAGAAGUGCGAAUGCUGACAUAAGUAACGAUAAAGCGGGUGAAAAGCCCGCUCGCCGGAAGACCAAGGGUUCCUGUCCAACGUUAAUCGGGGCAGGGUGAGUCGACCCCUAAGGCGAGGCCGAAAGGCGUAGUCGAUGGGAAACAGGUUAAUAUUCCUGUACUUGGUGUUACUGCGAAGGGGGGGACGGAGAAGGCUAUGUUGGCCGGGCGACGGUUGUCCCGGUUUAAGCGUGUAGGCUGGUUUUCCAGGCAAAUCCGGAAAAUCAAGGCUGAGGCGUGAUGACGAGGCACUACGGUGCUGAAGCAACAAAUGCCCUGCUUCCAGGAAAAGCCUCUAAGCAUCAGGUAACAUCAAAUCGUACCCCAAACCGACACAGGUGGUCAGGUAGAGAAUACCAAGGCGCUUGAGAGAACUCGGGUGAAGGAACUAGGCAAAAUGGUGCCGUAACUUCGGGAGAAGGCACGCUGAUAUGUAGGUGAAGUCCCUCGCGGAUGGAGCUGAAAUCAGUCGAAGAUACCAGCUGGCUGCAACUGUUUAUUAAAAACACAGCACUGUGCAAACACGAAAGUGGACGUAUACGGUGUGACGCCUGCCCGGUGCCGGAAGGUUAAUUGAUGGGGUUAGCGCAAGCGAAGCUCUUGAUCGAAGCCCCGGUAAACGGCGGCCGUAACUAUAACGGUCCUAAGGUAGCGAAAUUCCUUGUCGGGUAAGUUCCGACCUGCACGAAUGGCGUAAUGAUGGCCAGGCUGUCUCCACCCGAGACUCAGUGAAAUUGAACUCGCUGUGAAGAUGCAGUGUACCCGCGGCAAGACGGAAAGACCCCGUGAACCUUUACUAUAGCUUGACACUGAACAUUGAGCCUUGAUGUGUAGGAUAGGUGGGAGGCUUUGAAGUGUGGACGCCAGUCUGCAUGGAGCCGACCUUGAAAUACCACCCUUUAAUGUUUGAUGUUCUAACGUUGACCCGUGAUCCGGGUUGCGGACAGUGUCUGGUGGGUAGUUUGACUGGGGCGGUCUCCUCCUAAAGAGUAACGGAGGAGCACGAAGGUUGGCUAAUCCUGGUCGGACAUCAGGAGGUUAGUGCAAUGGCAUAAGCCAGCUUGACUGCGAGCGUGACGGCGCGAGCAGGUGCGAAAGCAGGUCAUAGUGAUCCGGUGGUUCUGAAUGGAAGGGCCAUCGCUCAACGGAUAAAAGGUACUCCGGGGAUAACAGGCUGAUACCGCCCAAGAGUUCAUAUCGACGGCGGUGUUUGGCACCUCGAUGUCGGCUCAUCACAUCCUGGGGCUGAAGUAGGUCCCAAGGGUAUGGCUGUUCGCCAUUUAAAGUGGUACGCGAGCUGGGUUUAGAACGUCGUGAGACAGUUCGGUCCCUAUCUGCCGUGGGCGCUGGAGAACUGAGGGGGGCUGCUCCUAGUACGAGAGGACCGGAGUGGACGCAUCACUGGUGUUCGGGUUGUCAUGCCAAUGGCACUGCCCGGUAGCUAAAUGCGGAAGAGAUAAGUGCUGAAAGCAUCUAAGCACGAAACUUGCCCCGAGAUGAGUUCUCCCUGACUCCUUGAGAGUCCUGAAGGAACGUUGAAGACGACGACGUUGAUAGGCCGGGUGUGUAAGCGCAGCGAUGCGUUGAGCUAACCGGUACUAAUGAACCGUGAGGCUUAACCUUACAACGCCGAAGGUGUUU